AGUGAACGCUGGCGGCAGGCCUAAUACAUGCAAGUCGAACGGCAGCACAGUGGAGCUUGCUCCAUGGGUGGCGAGUGGCGGACGGGUGAGGAAUACAUGGGAAUCUGCUCAGUCGUGGGGGAUAACGUAGGGAAACUUACGCUAAUACCGCAUGCGUCCUUCGGGGGAAAGCCGGGGAGCUACGGGCCUGGCGCGAGGGGAUGAGCCCAUGUUCGAUUAGCUAGUUGGCGGGGUAAAGGCCCACCAAGGCGACGAUCGAGAGCUGGUCUGAGAGGAGGCUCAGCCACACUGGAACUGAGACACGGCCCAGACUCCUACGGUAGGUAGCAGUAGGGAAUGUUGGACAAUGGGCGCAAGCCUGAUCCAGCCAUGCCGCGUGAGUGAAGAAGGCCCUCGGGUUGUAAAGCUCUUUUGUCCGGGAAGAAAAGCAUCGGGCUAAUACCUCGCUGUUCUGACGGUACCGGAAGAAUAAGCACCGGCUAACUUCGUG
rnacentral:rRNA from 1 species